rnacentral:rRNA from 1 species
AUGGGGAGGGGGAACGGAGUGAUGGGGAGCAAAGCUGUGGCGCUCGCGCUGCUGCUCUGCCUGAGCAGCGCGGCGGUGGGCGCGUGGGCGAGGCCCGUCGCGAACAAGGGGAAGCACGCCGCAGACGAGAAGUUCCUGUUGCUGAAGAAGCACUUCGGCAAGGGACUUGGAGGUGGCCUUGGGAAGGGUGGUGGGCUCGGUGGAGGUGGCGGUGGCGGCUACGGUGGUGGAGGAGGGCUCGGUGGCGGUGGCGGCUACGGUGGUGGAGGAGGGCUCGGUGGCGGUGGCGGCUACGGUGGUGGUGGAGGACUAGGUGGUGGCGCUGGCCAUGGUGUCGGUGGAGGUCUUGGUGGUGGGUUUGGCAAAGGCGGCCUUGGCGGUGGUUUUGGCCACGGCAUCGGCGGUGGAUUCGGUAAAGGCGGAGGUCUUGGCGGCGGCAUCGGCAACGGUGGAGGACUCGGUGGUGGUGCCGGUGGCGGGUAUGGCAAUGGUGGUGGUCUUGGAAAUGGAGGCGGGCUCGGAGGCGGCAUCGGCCAUGGACUCGGUGGUGGCAUUGGAAAGGGUGGGGGUCUCGGUGGCGGCUUUGGCAAAGGUGGUGGACUAGGGGGCGGCUUUGGCGGUGGAGACGGCGGAGGCGGCGGUUUUGGCGGAGGCUUUGGCAAGGGAGGCGGAUUCGGUUUCGGGAUCGGCAAAGGUGGCGGUGGCGGGAUCGGCGGCGGCCACUGA